UUCGAGUCGUACAGCGCUGUCGGCUGUUAACCGAAGGGUUGUAGGUUCGAGUCCUACCUGCGGAGCCA
rnacentral:tRNA from 1 species